AAAUCCGAACAGAACUUGUGCCCUAUCUUUCACGAGGCAAUUCUCCGUAGCGUUCGUGGUUCGUAAGCAGUCUCCGAUUAGGUUUCGAGUCUCAAAUCUGCUCCUCCAAUGGCGACGGUGGCUUCUGCGGGACUCAAUGACAUUAGUAAUAGCAAGAAUCCGCUUGGAGAAAACCCUAGUCAAACCCUAGACACAACCAUUUCUUCCUCCAACAAUCCUCCUACCGCCGUUCAGCCUUCGUCAACCGAUGGCGGAUCUUCGAAGGAAAUGGAGGAAUCUAAGGGCUCCGGUAAGGCGUCGCUUGAAGGGGAUGGUGCACCGGUUUCUGACACCCAGAGGAAGAUGCGCCGUGCCGAGCGUUUUGGGAUCUCUGUUCAGUUGUCUGAAGAAGAGAAGCGUAAUUCUCGAGCGGAACGGUUUGGUAUGGGUGCCACAACGAAUGGAUUGGGAGCAUCGAACAAGUCAGAAGAGGUGAAGAGGAAGGCUAGAGCUGAGAGAUUUGGGCUUCCUGCAUCUGUGACUACUGAUUAUGAGGCAAAGAAGAAAGCUCGUCUUGCUAGGUUUUCAUCAACAUCAAAGCCAGACUCCCAGGAGGAAGAAAAGAGGAAAGCAAGGGCAAUCAGAUUUUCUAAUCCAACAUCAAACUCUCUCGUACAAGUAGAUGGGAAAGGAAGCAUCGAGACGAUUGCAGAUGUUACAGGGAAGGGUGGAGGUGACGCCUGAAAAGAACAUUCCCUUUUGAUGGCAAGAUAGCUUUUGCUUGUAAACUUUUUUUGGUGGUCCUGUAUCCUGGUUAGGUUCCCCGUAAUGGCUUCCAUACCCAUGUGCAUUCCCUUUAUAUGAUUAUGUAGCAUAAAAGUCUUCCAUUCUGGGGGCAGAUUAAAUACUGCGAGCCGCAAGAUGCUGUACUAGGUGUCGCUGUGAGACGAGAUCCCCUAGAUUCAGAUGUGUCAGGAUAUUAAUUCUCUGGUUAGGUGUUAUAGUAAUAGCAAAUACCUCCAUAGGUCAAGCCUUUCUCAAAGUUUAUUAAGAAUAUCAGAAAUUUCUGAAGUUUUUAGCCCUCCAACAUUUUGUUUAUCAUCUUAGGUUUAUAUCUCCUUUGUGACGACAAGUUGGAUGCUCAUGAUAUCAUUUGAACGGCAGUGCUAAGUUUUCUAUGUGAAUUGGUACCAUCUGACCACUGACUGGUUAAAAUUUACUAAUUGGUCAAAUUGGCCUUAAGGAUUAGGAAGGUUAAUGCAUCAUUCUCUUCUCAAGUUAACAUCAUUAGGUUUUUUGUUUUCUAACUAUAAAUUGGGUUUGGAUUUUUAGGUUAUUGUUCCUUUUUAAUGUUAGGUUUUUCAUGUGGCUGACUGUCUGUAGUAAUGUAGGAUUAAUGGCCAACUCUCGAUCUAAGGAAACUUGCAUGUAUAUCUUUUGCUUUUUCAGAGACAGAUCCAGAAUUUGAGCACAGCUAGCUAUUAUCUGAUUAUUUAUGAUUGAGGUUUGGUCUCUUUGUAUGAUGGCAGCUCAUCUCAUGGCUUCACUUAUAAUUACUCAUCAUUGAAUUGACUACUACAUUGUUUAGACGCCUACUUUUUCUAUAACCUGCCAGAAUACUUUGAUUAGACUGGUCAUGUGUUGAAUGUUAUUUAGAGCUGCCGUUUCAAAAUGUCAUCAUGAGAUAAUAGCUCCAACUUGUGUGAGAAUAAACUGAAGAUAAAUCUUGGGAGGGAAAGAAAAUAUUAAUCACAACGGUAAGUGGUGGUCGUGUGGGAGAAGCUGAAUUCUCUCUUCUAACUUAGGAGUUUCUGAUAUUCUUCUACGGUAACCUAUAGGAUAGGCUAACCCUUUGGAGGUAUUUUGUUGGCUCUCUAGGUCUCUGCAUGUAAUGAAGUUUGUAGCUGAGAAUGGAUUGUACUCCUCUGCAAAUAGGUUUUCCUGUGAAGUUUUUGUUGUUUCUUUAUUUCCCUUUAUCUUUCACUUCAUAGUUAGCUAGUUGCUACAUGUAUUUCUCUUGGAUUUUUUGGUCGGAUGUAAUGGGUAUGGAAGGACCGCAACAGUUAUAUGAGGGAAUCGAUAAUUUGAUCAAAGUUUCUUUUGGUGAUA